UGCCAACGGCAUAGCUGGGUAGCUAUGUGUGGACGGGAUAAGUGCUGAAAGCAUCUAAGCAUGAAGCCCCCCUCAAGAUGAGAUUUCCCAACUUCGGUUAUAAGAUCCCUCAAAGAUGAUGAGGUUAAUAGGUUCGAGGUGGAAGCAUGGUGACAUGUGGAGCUGACGAAUACUAAUCGAUCGAAGACUUAAUCAA
rnacentral:rRNA from 1 species